UUUGGCUAUUCCGAAGGGCAUGCCUGUUUGAGUAUCAUGAACACCUCAACUCUCGUGGUUCGCCAUGGAGAGCUUGGACUUUGGGGGUCUUUGCUGGCCUGUGGUCAGCUCCUCUCAAAUGAAUCAGCUUGCCGGUGUUUGGUGGCGUCACAAGUGUGAUAACUAUCUACGCUUGUGGUUUUCCGCCAGAUGACCUUCAGCAAUGGAGGUCCACUGGAGCUCAUAAAUGUCUCUCCCCAGUGAGGACAGCUCUUUGAAUGUUUGAUCUCAAAUCAGGUAGGACUACCCGCUGAACUUAAGCAUAUCAAUAAGCGGAGG
rnacentral:rRNA from 1 species